AGCAGCAGCCGCGGUAAUACGAAGGGGGCUAGCGUUGCUCGGAAUGACUGGGCGUAAAGGGCGCGUAGGCGGUUUUGACAGUCAGAUGUGAAAUUCCUGGGCUUAACCUGGGGGCUGCAUUUGAGACGUCAAGACUAGAGUGUGAGAGAGGGUUGUGGAAUUCCCAGUGUAGAGGUGAAAUUCGUAGAUAUUGGGAAGAACACCGGUGGCGAAGGCGGCAACCUGGCUCAUUACUGACGCUGAGGCGCGAAAGCGUGGGGAGCAAACAGGAUUAGAUACCCCCGUAGUCCCUGUCUCUUAUAC
rnacentral:rRNA from 1 species